rnacentral:rRNA from 1 species
ACGGGAGGCAGCAGUGGGGGAUAUUGCACAAUGGGGGAAACCCGAUGCCGCGACGCCGCGUGAGAGAAGAAGUAUUUCGGUAUGUAAAGCUCUAUCAGCAGGAAAGAUAAUGACGGUACCUGACUAAGAAGCACCGGCUAAAUACGUGCCAGCAGCCGCGGUAAUACGUAUGGUGCAAGCGUUAUCCGGAUUUACUGGGUGUAAAGGGAGCGUAGACGGCAUGGCAAGCCAGAUGUGAAAGGCAGGGGCUCAACUCCUGGACUGCAUUUGGAACUGUCAAGCUAGAGUAUCGGAGAGGUAAGUGGAAUUCCUAGUGUAGCGGUGAAAUGCGUAGAUAUUAGGAGGAACACCAGUGGCGAAGGCGGCUUACUGGACGAUAACUGACGUUGAGGCUCGAAAGCGUGGGGAGCAAACAGGAUUAGAUACCCUGGUA